CCAAUAGCGUAUAUUAAAGUUGUUGUGGUUAAAAAGCUCGUAGUUGAACCUUGGGCCUGGCUGGCCGGUCCGCCUCACCGCGUGUACUGGUCCGGCCGGGCCUUUCCCUCUGUGGAACCCCAUGCCCUUCACUGGGUGUGGCGGGGAAACAGGACUUUUACUUUGAAAAAAUUAGAGUGCUCCAGGCAGGCCUAUGCUCGAAUACAUUAGCAUGGAAUAAUAGAAUAGGACGUGUGGUUCUAUUUUGUUGGUUUCUAGGACCGCCGUAAUGAUUAAUAGGGACAGUCGGGGGCAUCAGUAUUCAAUUGUCAGAGGUGAAAUUCUUGGAUUUAUUGAAGACUAACUACUGCGAAAGCAUUUGCCAAGGAUGUUUUCAUUAAUCAGGAACGAAAGUUAGGGGAUCGAAGACGAUCAGAUACCGUCGUAGUCUUAACCAUAAACUAUGCCGACUAGGGAUCGGACGAUGUUAUUUUUUGACUCGUUCGGCACCUUACG
rnacentral:misc_RNA from 1 species